rnacentral:lncRNA from 1 species
UGGACUACCAUCCUUUAUUUUGGUGGUGUAAAAGUAUUUGUGAUGCAUACAGUGCUCCCUCUCAACCAUAGGGACAGCAAUCACGCCAGGGGUAACUGUGCCUACAUCUGUCGGUUAAAGCAAACCCUUGCAGGGUUGCCGACUCAAGACCUGACUCAUUUGCAGCUGCUUGCUUCUGGCAGAGCUCCUCAGCUAUCAGUGCAAGCUGCAAGGAGGGAUGCUGCACAGGUCCAGCUGCAGGGGAUGGGCAGGAAGCUGGAAGGAGCCCACUGCGGAGCACCCUCCAUCUAAACAGUGGACAUGUCAGACAAGCAAGGAUCUGCAUCAGGAAUUCAGGUACCAGCCCGUGGAAGUUAACAGAAAUUUCUUUUAAUAGGCUCCAGGAAGCUCAGAUCCUCACGCUAGCACCGGGGUAAAGGCAAGGAGGAUGUAGGUUACAGGAACAGUGUGACAUGAUUAUUCACUGAAGUGCACUGGUCCCUUGAGGCUCAAAGUGUUUUGGGACGUUUGGUAUGAGCUGUCUGAGACACACAGGGCUUACAGGCCCAGCUCCCUCUUUAGACAACUGUUGCUGUGGUGUGGUUUGGUUGUUAGUGUUGUUUUGUUUUAAUAUUGCAUGUGCUUCAAUUUCUACAGCCGGUGUUGAUUGUGUAACUUCUUAAGAGAGAUUUCAAAUACUGCAAAGAAAUACUUCCCAGGAGCAGCUUUCAGAAAGCACUUUAAAAGUCUUUAUCUAUCUCCCUGGCCCUGGCAUCCUCCCAUCACGGAGCUUUCCAAACACAGAUCUAUGCGUUUUUAUGGUGCCUCAGAAGAGGCAUGUCAGCCUCAGGGGCGGGUUCCUCACGGUGCUGAGGAGGCUGUACAGCAGAUGCAGGGAACUAAAUCAAGCUGGUUGAUCCCUGUACAGUGUCAUAACUGUAAAAUCCUCCACGAGGAGCAGUGUGGAAAGUGGUUGUAUUUGUGCAUUCAUCAUGCAUGCUAUGACAAAUGACAGUUUUAUGGUUAAAUGCACUUGAAUGGAAGGUUAAGGUUCAUCUCCCUUCUCUGCCCUACACUUCAUAUAUCACCUCAGGUAAAACUGAGAGCCAGAUAAUACCUUAAACAACAGAUUUACUUUCCUUCACCUUGUAUUUCUAACUCAGGUGUUAACAGCACUUCUUCCCAACCCUACCUCUUUACUUUACACACGCGUGCCUGGAGGUUUGCUUGGGGCUUGGAGCAACGGGAAGCCUGCAGUCAGGCAGGGAGCCUGAAAACGAUAGCAAAAGCAAAACCAACAGCACUUAAGGCAGGUAAUAAAUGAGCCUGGUCCUGGCUUCA